GGUUCCAUGGUGUAAUGGUUAGCACUCUGGACUCUCAGCAAUCCGAGUUCAAAUCUCGAUGGAACCU